rnacentral:rRNA from 1 species
AGUGAACGCUGGCGGUAGGCCUAACACAUGCAAGUCGAACGGCAGCACAGUAAGAGCUUGCUCUUACGGGUGGCGAGUGGCGGACGGGUGAGGAAUACAUCGGAAUCUACUUUUUCGUGGGGGAUAACGUAGGGAAACUUACGCUAAUACCGCAUACGACCUACGGGUGAAAGCAGGGGAUCUUCGGACCUUGCGCGAUUGAAUGAGCCGAUGUCGGAUUAGCUAGUUGGCGGGGUAAAGGCCCACCAAGGCGACGAUCCGUAGCUGGUCUGAGAGGAUGGUAGGGCACACUGGAACAGAAACACGGUCCCGACUCCUACGGGAUGCAGCAGUGGGGAAUGUUGGACAAUGGGCGCAAGCCUGAUCCAGCCUUACCGCGUGGGUGAAGAAGGCCUUCGGGUUGUAAAGCCGUUUUGUUGGGAAAGAAAAGCAGCAGGUUAAUACCCCGCUGUUCUGACGGUACCCAAAGAAUAAGCACCGGCUAACUUCGUG